GCUUAAACUAAUUUAUAGUUUAUUUUACAUUGUUUAUACCCCCUAUCUCGUUCACAGUAUUGCCCUUAAACAGUGUUUAUACUCGUAUCACAUUCACAGUAUUGCCCUCUAUCUUGUUCACAGUAUUGCCCUUAAACAUUGUUUAUACUCGUAUCACAUUCACAGUAUUGUCCUUAAACUAAUUUGUAGUUAAUAUUGCUUGGUUUUUCUCUCUGUAUCGUUCACAGUAUUGUCCUUAAACUAAUGGGUGAGGGAUGGCCGAAUAGUUAGCACGUGUGCACUGUAUCAUAAGGUCUGUCAUAGAGUUAUCUGGCGUGGUUUCGUUUGUACGUGACAGGAAGAGGGGUGGCCUGUCCAACCUAGUGAGUUUUCUCCAGUUUCCUGUCACUGCUAAAGACCCCUACGCGCAAGCGAAUUAUUGAAAAAAAUUGAACCAUGUGUUAGUCCCGAAAUGACCUAGUUUGUGUCGAGUGUACGUUAAACCCCAUUUCUUUCCCUCUCUCUCCAUUAACUAAUUGGCACUCAAUAACUUCUGGUCAAUGCUAUAGUAUUAUGUCACUUAUGUCGGUUAUGACUAAAAGAUGUGGUCACAAAGGUCAACUAGGGGUCAAGUAGGUCAGGAAAUGUUGUAAAACAUGUUUGAGUGAGGUCGAAAAUGGUCAAUUUGGCCAACUAGUGGCCAAUCGGAUAAAGUUUCAAAACAAUAGGUCAGUGAGGUCAAAAAGGUCACCAAUUCCUGAAGGUUAAAAAGCGGUCAAUCGGGUCAACUAGGCCAAGUUAGGAAAUAUUCCAAAAAUAGGUCAUUGAGUUCACAAAGGGUCACUAUAGUCAAAAAGGGGUCAAGUAAGGAAAUGUUGCAUAAAUGAAAUCCUGAAAGUAAAAGCGGUAAUUGGUCAACUAGAGUUUAAUAUGGGUCAAGUUAGAAAAUGUUGCAAAAAAUGUUUUUGUGAUGUUCGAAAAGGUCACAAAGGUCAAAUCCUGAAACUAACUAAGGUCAUCAAGAGUUCAGUGGAGGUUAACUGGGGUCAAUUUAGGAAAAGUUACAAAAAAUGAUUCAAUGAUGUCAUAAAAAGGAUCACCAAAGUUAAAUAGAGGACAAUAAGGAACUAAAAUCCAAUCAGUCGUAAAGGGCCACCUUGGUCAAUCGGGUCAACUAGGGGUCUACUAUAUAGGAUAUUUAGGAAAUGUCCCCAAGGUACGACUUCGUUAAACAAAUGUAUACUGCUAUACUUUAUUAUUAUACUGUCAAUAUUCCAUUAUUAGUCCAUAUUCCAUUAUUAUACUGCAAUAUUCCAUUAUUAGUCAAUAUUUCAUUAUUAAACUGUCAAUAUUUUAUUAUUAUACUGUCAAUAUUCCAUGUUUAUACUGUCAAUAUUCCAUUAUUAGUCAGUAUUCCAUUAUUAUACUGUCAAUAUUUCAUUAUUGUACUGUCGCAUUUUCAUUAUUAUAUUGUCAAUAUUUCAUUAUUAUAUUGUCAAUAUUUCAUUAUUUUACCGUCAAUAUUCUAUUAUCAUUGUUUCAUUUUCAUACUAUAAAUAUUUAUUUUAUUUAUAUACUGGCAAUAUUCCAUUUUUAUACCUUCAAUAAUAAUUUUAUUUUUAUACUGACAAUAUUCUAUAGAUAUUUAUUUUAUUUAUAUACUGGCAAUAUUCCAUUUUUAUAACUUCAAUAAUAAUUUUUUUUUAUACUGACAAUAUUCUACUUUUAUGCUAUCAUUUUUAUACUGUCAUAUUUGUUUUUUCAUUUUUUAUUUUUAUACUGUCAUUUUUUUCAUUUUAUAUAAGCAAUAUUUCAUUUUCAUACCAUCAUAUUUCAUUUUGCUGUACAUAUACUAUCAAUUAAAUAUACUUCGCAUUCA